rnacentral:tRNA from 1 species
GUUAGUAUAGUUAAUUGGUAAACAGUUUCCUUGUCGAGGAAAAGGAUGCCGGAUCGAAGCCGGCCUAACU